rnacentral:rRNA from 1 species
GACGAACGCUGGCGGCGUGCCUAAUACAUGCAAGUCGAGCGGACCAAACAGGAGCUUGCUCUUGUUUGGUUAGCGGCGGACGGGUGAGUAACACGUGGGUAACCUGCCCGUAAGACCGGGAUAACUCCGGGAAACCGGAGCUAAUACCGGAUAACACCGAAGACCGCAUGGUCUUUGGUUGAAAGGCGGCUUCGGCUGCCACUUACGGAUGGGCCCGCGGCGCAUUAGCUAGUUGGUGAGGUAACGGCUCACCAAGGCGACGAUGCGUAGCCGGCCUGGGAGGGUGACCGGCCACACUGGGACUGAGACACGGCCCAGACUCCUACGGGAGGCAGCAGUAGGGAAUCUUCCGCAAUGGACGAAAGUCUGACGGAGCGACGCCGCGUGAGCGAAGAAGGUCUUCGGAUCGUAAAGCUCUGUUGUUAGGGAAGAAGAAGCGCCGUUCGAACAGGGCGGCGCGGUGACGGUACCUAACGAGAAAGCCCCGGCUAACUACGUG